rnacentral:rRNA from 1 species
UACGUAGGGUCCGAGCGUUGUCCGGAUUUAUUGGGCGUAAAGGGCUCGUAGGCGGCCAACUAAGUCGGAUGUGAAAUCCCCAGGCUUAACCUGGGAACUGCAUCCGAUACUGGAUGGCUUGAAUCCGGGAGAGGGAUGCAGAAUUCCAGGUGUAGCGGUGAAAUGCGUAGAUAUCUGGAGGAAUACCGGUGGCGAAGGCGGCAUCCUGGACCGGCAUUGACGCUGAUGAGCGAAAGCUAGGGGAGCAAACGGG